AUUGAACGCUGGCGGCAGGCCUAACACAUGCAAGUCGAGCGGCAGCGGAAAGUAGCUUGCUACUUUGCCGGCGAGCGGCGGACGGGUGAGUAAUGUCUGGGAAACUGCCUGACGGAGGGGGAUAACUACUGGAACCGGGAGCUAAUACAGAAUAACGUCGCAGGACCAACGCGGGGGAACUUCUGGCCUCUUGCCAUCAGAUGUGACCAGAUGGGAUUAGCUAGUAGGUGGGGUAACGGCUCACCUAGGCGACGAUCCCUAGCUGGUCUGAGAGGAUGACCAGCCACACUGGAACUGAGACACGGUCCAGACUCCUACGGGCGGCAGCAGUGGGGAAUAUUGCACAAUGGGCGCAAGCCUGAUGCAGCCAUGCCGCGUGUAUGAAGAAGGCCUUAGGGUUGUAAAGUACUUUCAGCGGGGAGGAAGGUGUUGAGGUUAAUAACCUCAGCAAUUGACGUUACCCGCAGAAGAAGCACCGGCUAACUCCGUGCCAGCCGCCGCCGUAA
rnacentral:rRNA from 1 species